CUGGUUUCUCCACAUGGCCUCCCUCAUCUGCCCCACGCCGUACAAGGCGCGCUUCACCUCCUCGCCCACCACCGUCUCUCCGGCCUUGGACAACUCUGACGAGACACGACCCGAAAAGUCUGCUUUUGAUGGGGUGAGUCCCAUGGCCGUACUGAUGAACUAAGAGGCGUUUACGCCAAAACCUUCCCGUCCUGGGGUUGACGUUCCCCGUUUUCAUGUCAAAGCCAAAAGCAGCCUCAUUGAAAGCAAUGGCAACACAACACAGGUUGGAGGAAAAAGAUGCCUUACCGCCCUGAAGAUCCACUGAUGGCGUACGACACUUUGCGUGGCCGCUUUGCUUGCGGUGUCGGCUUUCUUUGUGCUCUUUCCACUCAGAGCGUGAUUCGGGAUCCUAUUAGCGACUUUGCGUCACGUCCGCGCCCGAUAAUCCCGCAUUCAACACGUCGCCGGCCGCCGCCAGGCACCUCUUUGCUCUCCACACUUAAGUUUCGGCACACACCGAGACGAGACGACGGCAUGUCGGGCGAGAGCGCAAAACUCAUCCCAGUAUAACGGCGGGCGGGCCUUCCUCAAACCCAUUCCCAGAAAGUUGAAAGCGCACAAGUGUGAUUUUGUGCUUGUGUGUUUUUUCAAUGGUGGCUCAUGGAACCAAUGCUGGUCAAAAAGGGCCUUUGGAGUUCUUUGCGCUGCCCCUUUUGGUGUGCCCGCCUUGGCCACCUGGAGGCAAUACAAGACAGACAGAUGGCUACGCCAUUCAUUGAGACAUCUCCACUCCUCUGGGCUCAUCGGUACGCCACUAAUAUGAGUUGUUCUUCGCAGAGCAUAAAGAAUAUGUGACUGUGAGUAUUGUUACAGUAUAUGCACGGUUUGUUUUCAGGACGUAAGCGAG